CCACAAGGGCAACCCCGAGACUGAGGAGAGGAAAGCUGACAGCCAGGGCCACCCCCUGGACUGGCUAAACUGGAACUUUAAAGGAAAAGAGAUGGCUGGGGCCUCACCAAUUCAGUGACUCACCGGGACACUUUGGACAGCAGAAUCCAGGCUGCCUCUCUGGACGGGGGCAAGUCAGUGGUGGGCAGACAGCAGGGGAGCAGUGCACCGUGCCAUCCUGCGGGGAGGAAAUGCAAGCGGUUCUGCACAUAAACUGGUGCCUGUGCAGACACACAUUCCAUGCCUCAGCUAUAAUUCCCCAGCCUUGCCUACAGGAAGUAAUACAAUUUGAUUGAACUACCCUGCCUCUCCAACAAUGGCUGAUGCCCACAAGUGAGACCUUUUUCGGUGCUACAGAACAAUCCCUCAAGAUGACUCAGGCAAGUGAGCCAAGGUGAAUGCUGCUGAGGAAACAGGAGAAUCCCCCAUUGGGGA